AAUGAUAAUACAAGCGGAACUACGUAGCUAAUACUGUUGUAACUGGGGAUCCUUAUUGUAGCAACACACUUUUGUAGGGAAGGCAAUCCUGCGCUGCGUUAGCUAAAUUUUCAUGUCAUCGGGUGUAGUUCAUAAAGGUUGAAGAGUGUAUGUUAGGAUGAAGUGUGAAUUCAUGCCAGGAAUAAUAAGUGUGAAGUUUGAUUUCCUCCCUUCUGUAAUAAGCAGCCAAUGAGUUCUCACUGAAGGGGAUAAUUCUCACUGAAACUACUGAAUAAAGCCGCCAGUUAAAAUCA